UACCCGCUCGCUGGGGCUGUGCGGGGUGGCCCGCGGGUGCGCGCCUUGCUGCGGUGGGUGGGCGGCUGCCGGUCAGAGAGCUAGGAAUCUACGCUCUGGUAGUACGAGCUUCCCCUUUUCCGUUCCUUUUUGACCGUGCAGGCCUAGUUCUUUGCCAGAAGGAAAUGUCUGUCUUCCCCCUAACGCCUACAGCAGGACUAACGUCAAAAGACCCAGCCCCACAGGCACCCCUAGCCUCCUCCCCUGUCCCAGCGCUGAAGCACGAGGUCUCGCGUACCAGGCAGCAGCAGGGAUAUCCUUAGGCCUUUAGGCACAGCAGGGCUCUCUAGUGGUCAGAACAUCCUUCCCUUCCAGUGGCCACAGAUUCGCUGGGCGACACAGUCAACCCCUGAAAGUUGGUCUGACUUCAGAGUGGGCCCUGCUCCGCCACACAACAUUGGGCAAUGGCCUACAGAACUGCUUCUAAACCAAAGGGUUCCUGGAUUGCAGUGCUGUGCGAAAGAUUGCCACUGUUUUGCACUGCAGCUGCUCACUGGUGUAGAUCUACUGUAUUACUCACUCUUAAGUUCCACCACUGUAAAUACAGAACUGCUUUGUUCAAGUCCCUGAGGCUUGAUGAGCCUGCUUUUGACACAGCCUGGAAAUGGAGAUCGAAGAGCAUUGUUAAUCGACAGAAAAGAUGUUACAGAGAUUGUCAGUUACCUUUUGCUGCUGAUACCCAUCAACUCUAAUAGAAAUGUAAGAACACAGAACUGGAAAGGACCAUCUGGAACCAUCUGUAAGCCGUUCCUAGCACUGUGGGCUACUGUAAAUUAGAUAUUUAAUCACAAAUGGUGCAUAGAACAUCUUCUCCACGUGCCAUAGGCUGUAAAACAGUUCACAUGUAACACAGUUAAGAAAGAUGAUGAUUAAUAAUGAACAUCCAGAACUGUAAUGUGCCAUAAAAAGAACACAGCAUCAAUCAUCAGCUUCUGAGAACAGGCCAAUACAAUAAUUUGGGGGUAGAAUGAUUUUAAGAGAUAAAGUGUGAGGUUUGCUGUAAGAAGGCAAAAACAAAACAAAACAACAACAACAAAAAAACAGCUUCCAUUACUGUGACGCAGGAGAUUUUUUCAUGACCUCAAACCUUGCAAUCCAUUUAGCUUGGACGUUGUGACCCAGAUUCAUUUCCCACUCGCUUGUUGGAGAGGAGUUCAUGAUGGAAGUGUAUAUUCACCUCAUUUUCAUUUUCCCCCAUUGGUAGUAUCACACUCUAGUCUGAGCAACAUACUUUGAGGUUCUAUUACAAUGAAUACAGACCUCCAUGAAUACAUGCCUCCUGUAAAAUGGCCUGCCACUAUUAAAUUAUAUCAUCUGAGACAAACUAUUUACAAAUUACUCUGAAGCCACAUAAAACAUUCUAGGAAUUGUUCCUUGUGAAUGUGUUUUGACAGAUGGUCAACACUUCGGACAGACACUGUGCAUCUCUUGUGCAGGACAAUGCAGUGUUAUGACAGUCACUGAGAACUUUUUUACAGGAGGUGUAUCUUGAUCUUCAGUGUUACUACGGUUUACUGAAUACCUAUUAGGUGAAAAACAGACAACUUUUUUUCCCUUCUGCUCUAACUUUACAAAUAGCAAAUGCUAUAUAGUUUGAUCUUGUGAUGCUGUCCAGAGAGAUAUCUUUCUGUGGGCAGAAAGUCUAUGAAGGUCUACAGCAUCUGAUCCCAAUGGUCAUUUGACCUCUGGUGAUUAGCAUCCACCCAGGGCAAUGGUAUGGUCAGUGGAGAAUAUGAAGGCAGGGCAAGAAAAGGUGCCUUCAAUUUAGCAUGUCCAGCCUACAUCCCCUUCUCACCAGCUGUGGGUGACUUUCACCAUACAGCCACUGCUCUUCAGCCAUCAGGUAGGUUUGAAAAAACUACAGAUGUCCAUGCAGAAGUGCAACUCCUGGCUAACUCACAUGAUCUGAUUCUGUGCUACAGAGAUUUAGGGGUGUCUUUGCAGUGCACUGGUCUGCUGCCGAUGGCCUUUAAGGAAAACAAGCAUCAUUUGAGGUUAUAUUAAGCUAUAGAUGAAAAAGUGCAUCAAAAAUACUGUAGUUUUUUGGACUGGUCUGAAAGAUAGCCUUCCUUUCUAUUCAAUCCGAGUAAGUCUUCCUUGUACAGUGUGACUGCUUCAUCUAAAAAGGAAAAAUAAUGGCUAAUGGACCCUUUUAUUGGAUGGCUUUAGGGUUUGAGGUGCUGUUAUCUUCUAGCACUAAGGCCAGGCUGAAUCUGAGGGGUUUCAGUUAGCCACAGUCAUAAAACAGAAUAUAAAACAACUGUGAAGAAGUGAAAAAAAAAGAGCUUACCACAUUUUUUAGUUUCCCUUGAUCCUCAUGGGCUGAUCAAGAAAUAUGUGGCCUCUGUAAAUGGAAGUUAUUCCAUAAAUACAUUGAGUGGAGCCUACAGCAUCCCAGAGGAGCUAUUCAUCAACUCCAACAGGAAUAUGCAAUGGGAGGCCUUCACUGAAUUAAAAACAACAGGGAAAAAAGAGUUAUCCACUUAUCUCAUCAUUUGGUUAUCUCUGAUUUCAAGGAGUGCACAGAAAUGUUAAGCCCUCGCUAGACUUUUUAUAAGAGCUCCUAAGCCCAAUGUCUUUUUUUCCCCUAAAGUACAGGAGAGAGCCAACAAUUUCUGCAUGCACUGUCUUUCAUGCAAAAUACAUUUUAAUUAAAUUUACAUUAAAUAAGAUUUAAAUAAUUUAUUUUUACUGAUUUAGAAACAGCUAUUAAAAUCCAAAUUUAAAAAUUCAGCACUCACUGAUAGACAGUUUUAAAUACCACUGGUAGAUACUACUGUCCAUUCUGCCCGAGCUUCAACAGAAUUUGUGUAAUUAAAUUUAAGAUUCUUUAGGAACUGUAAAGUGAAAGAAGAAAGUUGGUUAAGGUCCAAUCUUAUGAGAUGCUAAACAUUUUCAAGACAGAUCAAGUGCCCUCAAUUUUAUCUUAAACCAAAUGAAAGUUGGUGGUGCUUAGUAUCUAUCAGAGGUGCUCAGCACUUUGCAGGGUUAAAUCCCCCAAGAACAAGCAAACAGUAUGCUCUGAAUACUGACAGGCUUUUAGAAUACAGUCUAGUAAUGGCCACAGCCAUGACCUGGAGGAACUACUUCUCAUGAGGCCAGAGAUAAUUCAGCCUCUGUGUGAGUUCACACUUAAGACAUUCCUGAUCAGAAAUGACCAAGUGGUGUAAAUUAUGAGUUAUCAGUCUUAAGUCUCAAUAUAUAAACUACUGUCUGACAGGAAGCAAAAUCUAUAAAUUGAUUUUAUUUAGGGGUAAACUUUGUUUACGGUAGUAAAAAGAGACGUACUCCAUUUGCUAACCCACUAUUCUCAGGACACUUACAGCUUCCACUGAGAAGGUCUGGCAGGACUUUAUUUUGCACAGUGUGCUAGGCUCACAAUCAGUAAGGCAUGCUGACUGUAUAUGUAAGAACUUCUGUACUGUGUUGAUCACAUGUUCCAUGGAAAAUGGAUGCACUUUAAAUUUCACUUUGAAUUGCACUUUUUUUUUCCCUACAGUGUAAAAAAACCCAACAUAUCAGCUAAGUGUUAAAAAUCCAUGCAAUAAUAUUAGGCAUAAGAACUCAUACUCAAAGUUAUUAAGAAUGUUUUGAGGCUUCUACAGUCACAAGUGAAACUGACUGUUACGCAUAUCACUGACUGCACAAUCUUUUUCACACUAGUUGUGUACUUUUAGCUCAGAAGUGAAAGGUGGUGAAUUCUAACCAUCGCAUCUUUGCUGUGCAGAAUGGCUUUGGGAAGGGGACCAUGCAAGUAGAACUGUGAUGGAAUGUUAGGUCAGUGGAAUAUAACUGCUAAGUUAGAACUGGUCAAAGCAGAAAGACUGAAGAUGAUCAUUUGUAGAAAAUGCCUUUGAGCUGGGAACCUUAAUGACUACAGCUAGCUAGAAAUUUGGUCAUGCUUUUUAUCCAAAUACAUUACCUCUAUCUCAGUAUUAAUCCUUUCAGCAGCUGACAUACUGGUACAUACUGUCUUGCAAGAGAAAGAACCUAUUUUUCUCUGGCCUCCUCCAUUCAUAUUAUGCUACCUUUCAUCUAAUGCUGACCCAUCCACAUCACUUUCGCUGGAUUUAAUGCAGAAUGGUGGGGCUGCCGGAAGCCAAAUUGCUACACUUCUUAUACCUCAGCUUAUAUGAUUAAGUCUUCUAGAAUCAGAACACUGCAAAGUAUAAUGAACUUGCAUUGUAUCAAGUGAAAGGGACAGCCAAGUGACAGAAGGUAGUGGCUUAGUAUGACACUGCAUUAUAAUGCAGCUCUGGGGAAUAAAAUUCAGGAGAAAUUAUUUGGAUGAAAAAAAAUUGAUCAAAGGCAAG